GAUAACUACUGGAAACGGUAGCUAAUACCGCAUAAUGUCGCAAGACCAAAGUGGGGGACCUUCGGGCCUCAUGCCAUCAGAUGUGCCCAGAUGGGAUUAGCUAGUAGGUGGGGUAACGGCUCACCUAGGCGACGAUCCCUAGCUGGUCUGAGAGGAUGACCAGCCACACUGGAACUGAGACACGGUCCAGACUCCUACGGGAGGCAGCAGUGGGGAAUAUUGCACAAUGGGCGCAAGCCUGAUGCAGCCAUGCCGCGUGUGUGAAGAAGGCCUUCGGGUUGUAAAGCACUUUCAGCGGGGAGGAAGGCGUUGAGGUUAAUAACCUUANUCGAUUGACGUUACCCGCAGAAGAAGCACCGGCUAACUCCGUGCCAGCAGCCGCGGUAAUACGGAGGGUGCAAGCGUUAAUCGGAAUUACUGGGCGUAAAGCGCACGCAGGCGGUCUGUCAAGUCGGAUGUGAAAUCCCCGGGCUCAACCUGGGAACUGCAUUCGAAACUGGCAGGCUAGAGUCUUGUAGAGGGGGGUAGAAUUCCAGGUGUAGCGGUGAAAUGCGUAGAGAUCUGGAGGAAUACCGGUGGCGAAGGCGGCCCCCCUGGACAAAGACUGACGCUCAGGUGCGAAAGCGUGGGGAGCAAACAGGAUUAGAUACCCUGGUAGUCCACGCCGUAAACGAUGUCGAUUUGGAGGUUGUGCCCUUGAGGCGUGGCUUCCGGAGCUAACGCGUUAAAUCGACCGCCUGGGGAGUACGGCCGCAAGGUUAAAACUCAAAUGAAUUGACGGGGGCCCGCACAAGCGGUGGAGCAUGUGGUUUAAUUCGAUGCAACGCGAAGAACCUUACCUGGUCUUGACAUCCACAGAACUUUCCAGAGAUGGAUUGGUGCCUUCGGGAACUGUGAGACAGGUGCUGCAUGGCUGUCGUCAGCUCGUGUUGUGAAAUGUUGGGUUAAGUCCCGCAACGAGCGCAACCCUUAUCCUUUGUUGCCAGCGGUCCGGCCGGGAACUCAAAGGAGACUGCCAGUGAUAAACUGGAGGAAGGUGGGGAUGACGUCAAGUCAUCAUGGCCCUUACGACCAGGGCUACACACGUGCUACAAUGGCAUAUACAAAGAGAAGCGACCUCGCGAGAGCAAGCGGACCUCAUAAAGUAUGUCGUAGUCCGGAUUGGAGUCUGCAACUCGACUCCAUGAAGUCGGAAUCGCUAGUAAUCGUAGAUCAGAAUGCUACGGUGAAUACGUUCCCGGGCCUUGUACACACCGCCCGUCACACCAUGGGAGUGGGUU
rnacentral:rRNA from 1 species